ACUAUCGAUAGUAUAGUAGCAUAAUUCUCUCUCUCUCUCUCUCUCUAUAUAUAUAUAUAUAUAAUAGUAGCCUAAUUCUAUAUAUAUAUAUAUAUAUUGAUGUAAUCAUCUUAGAUGAUCAUCAAUGUUACGAACUUGCUAGUCCACAUAUAAAACAUACAGCAUUCCUGGAAUAUUACGAAUGUUGAACCAAACAGCCCCUUAAAUGUUUGUGAGCUUUGGGGAUUGGAAAGGCUGCCCUGCACUGUCGUUAUUAGGAGCAUCUUCCUCUUUUUUUGCUCCAGUUGCCGGUGAUCAGCUGUUCUUUUGGUUUGGCAAUGAUGAUAUUGGCCCGCCCAAGGGGAUACUAUCCUAAAUUGGGAUGCAGACUUGCUGGUUUAGUUCUCGAAUUUCGAAUUUGGGGUGUUCAUGGUCCGAGUUCUUAAUGCUUUAUUUGGGUAAAUUGCACUGCUGGUCCCUAAACUUUUUGGGCAAAUUUGGAUGGUCUGCCUUCUGCAGGCAACCAUUUGCUCGCCUCUUUAGAUAUGAAGUAAAAAAGAUAUGCUGAAUGGAUGGUGAGCCUAAAAACAGUCUGUCACUCCCGGACAUAGCCAUGCCCCCUGUUGUUUCUUGCUUCUAGUUUGAGAAAACCAGCGAGUGUUGUGUCUGAUAAACGGGCCAUUCUGAGCCUUCUUCUCAGUUUCUUCAUACCUAACUGGCUAGUUCAUGGAAUGCCAAUUUGCAUAAAAAAUCCACUAGUUUUGCGCUUUUUUCAGGUUAGUUUAAUAAAUCUGAACGGAUCUGGAAAAACUCGGAUUUGGAACCGGGUUGGACUGAUAUUCAUCCAACUCAUUGGCAUCCCUAGCUCCUCCACUUUUGAGGCAGUAUGCUGCUCAGUAGCAUUGCUCAAAAAGAAAUUCUAUAGGAAGUUCCUCUGCUUUUGAUCCAGAUAUACUACAUGAGCGACACACUGAAAAUCCUCGAGUUUUUGUGAGGAAAGGAUGGAAGGUUUGAAGGGCUGCCCUACCUCUCCGUACUAGAAGCCCAUGGUUUCUUAUCUCUAUUGUAAGCGUGUUGUCAAGCCAUUCUUCCUUGCUUCCUUCUUGGCUUCUUAGCUUUUCUUUUACAAUGAUGAUUUUGGCCUACUUAAAGGUUGAAAUAGAAAUAAUGGUCGGAUUUGGGGGACUGUAUAAAAUUAACCCUUGAACCGUUGAGAAGUUUAUUGUUGAUUUACAAAUUUUGUGUAUAUUAAGUUCAUUUUUAAGGGUUUUGUGCUAGUGAACUCCUUAUUUAUGUUUUUGCGGCAGCUUGGAGGUGACGGAUUGACUUGUCUCUCUAGCUUGCCCCUUCUUGUGUAUGUGUGUAUGUAUGUAUAUGUGUGUUGAAAUGAUGUACGCAAGGGGGAGGCAAUGAUGAUUGAUGACACCAUACCAUUUUGAAGGUCAAGAUGGCAAGGCAGCUUGUAUGGCAUGAGUGCAACUGCUGCAGCCCUUUGCCCUUAUGAAGGGUUUUACUCAGACAAGAAGCGUGGGAGAUAAAUAGAGAGAGAGAGAGAGAGAGAGGGAGAGAGGAGACUUGUUUAUUUGAUAUUCAAUGGUGAAUCUGAGCCUCACUUCCCCCAAUCUCAUCGUAUUUCCAAGUGUGUGUUUCUUCUAGGAGUUACAGGGAGCUGUAUGCAAUUAACCCGGUUAUUUUACUAAUGCUGAGAUUCUAUGGAGUUUUUUUUUGUUUCAUUGGGUUGUUUAAACAAGUGUUUUUGCUUUGGUUUUGCGACAUUCUUAGUGAGUUCAUUUUUAAGGGUUUUGUGCUAGUGAACGCCUUAUUUACGUUUUUGCGGCAGCUUGGAGGUGACGGAUUGACUAGUCUCUCUAGCUUGCCCCUUCUUGUGUAUGUGUGUGUGUGUGUAUAUAUAUGUAUGUAUGUAUGUAUGUAUGUAUAUGUGUGUUGAAAUGAUGUAUGCAAGGGGGAGGCGAUGAUGAUUGAUGACACCAUACCAUUUUGAAGGUCAAGAUGGCAAGGCAGCUUGUAUGGCAUGAGUGCAACUGCUGCAGCCCUUUGCCCUUAUGAAGGGUUUUACUCGGACAAGAAGCGUGGGAGAUAAAGAGAGAGAGAGAGAGAGAGAGGAGAUUUGUUUAUUUGAUCAAUCAAUGGUGAAUCUGAGCCUCACUUCCUCCAAUCUCAUUGUAUUUCCAUGUGUGUGUUUCUUCUUGGAGUUACAGGGAGCUGUAUGCAAUUAACCCUAUUAUUUUACUAUUGCUGAGAUUCUAUGGAGUUUUUUUUUUCUUUCAUUGGGUUGUUUAAACAAGUGUUUUUGCUUUGGUUCUGCGACAUUUUUCGUGAAGUCCUUUCUUAAUUUUUGUCCCUUCAAUUUUUAAGUAUUAUGAUUCUUCUUUCCAUUUCCAACACACAGUCUUGUGGCUUUAUUGUGGUUUUGUUCUUAGAAGGUCAGUCUGCUAUAGUGGAAUAUUGAUGUUUUUAACAAAAUCCUUUUCUUUUCGACGUAUUGCUGCUAUUGCUGUGUUCUUUUCUCCGUUUUUAAUGAGAUAUUCUAUGGUGGGACAGUGGGAGAAGGUCGUGGUGAUACAAAUGAGAUUAACAUUCUUCCACUUAUCUGAUUUGCUGUUCAGAUUUCAGACAAUACAAAGGGUUUUCUUAUUCUCUUUUUUUUUUUUUCCUGACAUUCCUUUGCUGUUUCUUGAGGAUUUAUGAAAUCAACGCAUCGGCUUUGAAAUGUUUGAUUAAAUUGUUACCAAUCUUGUGUGAAAUCAUGAAUGCAGUGAACCUUUUCUUCUCCUGAGUUACCGAUAGCAUCAUUCUCUUGUUGUUUAAUCCUUUUUUUCAAGGUUCUUGGGUUCUUUUUGAGGUCCUUUUAUCAAUGGUCGAACAAAGUUCACAAGUUUGUUGCAAAUGGGAUAUAUAUGAGUAUUAAGUUAGAAAAUUUCGUGGCUCUUGUUAGGAAAGGUUGGAAGGUUGGAAGGGUUGCCCUGCCUUCCUUGAAGCCAGAUCUCAUGGUUCCGAUGUCCCUUCCAAAUUCAUUAUUAGGCUUUUCUUUUUAAUUGUUUCAUUUUUAUUAUUUUGUCCUGCUGCUGGCCAUCAUAUUUUCUUACCUUUACCUUCUUUUUAAAAGUCAAUUUAGUUUGGGAUGCAGACUGGUUGGUUUGAAUGUUGAAUAUAGGGUUUUGGGUUUUGGUUCUGUGUUUCAGAUUCGAUGCUUCUUUUUGGGUAAGUUGCACCAUUUGUCAUUGAACAUUCAGCUAAGUUUCAUUUAAACAAGUUCAUUUGUGAGUUACAGUUUGAAGCACUGAACUUCAGAACAGUUGGCAAUGCAAAUUUUGGGUCCUCUACUUCUGAUUUUAAUGCCUCUAUCUUAUGAUUUUGGCAGUGCGAUGUAUGAGAUGUACUUAUACACCCGGUGCAGGCAAUUUCUUGUGCCCUGGAGAAGCCGAAGUAUUUCUAGCCAAAAUAUUUCCCUGAUAUGAAAUCUGGGCCUAUCUCCCUUGGGAUCCCAGAGUAACACAUUAAAGGUUUUUUGCCUCUGGAAGUGUUUGCCUCAUUCUCAGCCUCUGCAAGACGCAGUAUAUUGGGACCCCUUCCAGGCUGAGCAGGCGAUCUCUUAAAAAGCCCACCUCUCCUCUCCUCUCUCUCUCUCUCUCUCUCUCUCUCUCUCUCUCUCUCUCUCAUACGCACACACAUAAAAUAGCAAGCAUGAUAAUAAGGAGGUGAUGAUGAUUGGUGAGUUCAUCCAUUUCUCCUCUUUGACAAAAAGAUACCUAUUUCACUCAGUACUGCUGCAAGUUCCCUGUUUGUUCUAUAGCUUGAAACAGUGAUGAUUGGUGAGUUCAUCACUGUUUCUGAAGAGUAUGCUACGGGUCCCUUGCACUGUUGUACAAUGUGGGUUGUACUUCAUUGAAUUGGGGUGAGUUCAUGGGAGCCUGUGAUGGUGCUCAAAUACACUUAUUCUCUUUGAGAAAGUGUGCCUAUUUCAAAAUGGCCUAUAGUUCAGGUUAGUUCCAUACAUUUUACCCCAAAUUGGGUAAAUCUUAUUACUGCAUUUAGCUUCGUAAGUUAGUCUCAAACAUGAAAUUUUGAGCAUUACUUUGGUGACUUAUCUACUUUUGUGAGGACUAGAUGGAAGCUUGGAAGCGCUGCCCUGUCUCUCUUAGAGUGAGAGCUCGUGGUUCUUGUCUCCCUCUAGAAGUUCAUUCUCAGGCCCUUCUUUUUUUGUUGUUGGCUAUCGGCUUUUCUUAUUUUGACCCUCCCUCUGAAAGGCAAUGAUGAUUUGGCCCACUUGAAGGGAUAUAGCCCCAUUUCUAGCUGCAGCCUUGUUGGUUUAGAUAUUGAAUUUAGGGUUUGGGGGUUCAUGGUUUUCGUGUUGAUGCUUUGCUUUGGGUAAAUCGCACCAUCGGUCACUGAACUUUCUCCUGAAAUUUUGUUUAGGCAAGUGUAUUUCUUUGUGUUGCAGUUUGAUGCAUUGAACUUCAAAAUAGUUGGCAAGGCAAAUUGUGGAUGGCCUGCCUUGUGCAGGCAACCAUUUUGUCCCACUUUUAAUGCAACUGGAGAUGGAGAGACAACGUGUCCCUAAGAACAGUGUUUCGUUCCAAGACUUUGGGGAGCCCAAAAGCCGUCAUGUCCUGAUAUGUGAGCCAAUCUGAGCCUUCUUGACCUUUCCUUUAUAUACAUUGGGCUAAUCCUAGGAAUAUCUUAGCCAAUGAUUUGUGCUGUGGCACGGGUUCGUGCCGGAAACUUGCCGGCACGGUACGGCACUGUGCUUGCCGGUCACAAAAAAUAUAUGUGUGCCAACCCACAAUGGCAUGAAAUAUUUAUUUUCUUUAGCAACAAAAUAUUCUAACCGUUUAUUAUAUAUCUUUAUCAAAUCUUUUGAACUUUAUUGAGAAAAUUACUUACUAAUUUAAAGAAUAGAGGGUGUUGAGUUGUGUCAUCGGCAUAGUGGCUGUAUCGUGCAUAUAUCUUGUCGGCACGAUACGGCCCAUGCCAAUCGGCACUUAAAUACUUCAUCGUAGCCAUUUCGAAUAAAAUUUCCGCUUGGAUUUUGCUUUUGCACAUUCGAAUUACGUUUAGAAAUCUUGUUCCCACCUGAGUUCAAGCUGGAUAAGGAAAUUUGAAUUCAUUGUCUAGCAAACUCUGUGUUCAGAAGCAAGGUUAGAUGGAUCAAUGCUACUGGUAAUGGGAUACGAUGUGGCAUGCUGUAUAUGGGGAUGCAGUAUGCUAGUUUCUCAAGAAUGUGGUUAGGAUUAGUCAGAUCGUUUGUCCGACCAUGGUUCUCAUCGAAUAACCAGUGCGUGUGUGUAUAUAACUUAACAUAUUGUUACUACAUAUAUUUUUCUUUUGUUUAUCUCCAGUUGUGAAUUUCUCUUCUAAUCACCAGCUCUUUCUUUUUUUGGGGUAUGAUUUUUGCGUAUUAUUCUAUCUUUUAAAACACACUUAUUUAAGGUAAUCUAACCAACCAAUUUGAUUGAUUUAUUUAUUUAUUUUUUAUUUGUCUUUGUCACUUUUUGCUAUACAGAUUGGGAACCCUCCACAAAUUGGAAUGCGCGAUCUGAUCGCGGUUCUGAUGGGAGCUCUGUAAUCAGAUCGCGGUUCCAACCAGAUCAUGGUUCUGAUGUUAUCCGACCCGUUUACAUCCCUACUUCCUUUCAUUUUGAACCACAUAAAUGAAUGAGUGAAUUUAAUUGUUUACUUUUGAAUUGCAUUCAAUGAGUCCUAUUCUAACUGCAUAGGGACUCACAAUGUCUUACAGUAAAAAGGAAAAAAAAAAAAAGAAUUCUAUUCUGAUUUGGUUCUGAGCAGAGUGAUUAUAAGGAGGCGGUGAUGAUGAUUGAUGAGCGCAUCAGCUUGGGGUGAACAAGCAAAGCUGGUGAUGGUGUAUCACUCAUUAGCAGUGCAACUGCUGCAGCCGUUAACCCUGAGGGAAAUGAUUUAGGCAAGAGGAGAGAAGAGGCAUAUUUUUUCAUCUGAUUGAUCAACAACAAUGAAUCUAAGUCUCCUUUUAUGAGGGAUAAUUGAUACAGGUUGCAAAAGUGCAGGGGUGUUUUCUGUAAUUUAGCCUUUAUUGAGAUCCCCUUAGUAGUAAUCUUCUAUAGUUAGCCCCCAUUUCGGGGGAUACGUGGAGUGUUUUCUUCUUCGAUCAACUAUUAGAAGUUAAAAUGGCAAGGCGGAUUGGAUAAUAUUACUGCAGCCAUUUGUUUUUCAUAGGGGCUGGGUUUGGACAAGGGCAGAGGAGAGGAUUGACUCAUUAUGUGACUGAUCAAAGGCAAAUCUGAGCCUCCCUUCGCAAAUCUUUUUCCUUUUCUAUUCAUCAUUUUUCUUUAUCUGUUUGCCCCUUUUUUUUCUUGAAACAUACACUUGCAGAGAAUUUCUUUUAUAUAUUUAAUCCUUUGUAUCAGUGGGAUUUUUGGUUUUGUUACAGAACUGUCAGGUCUAUAUUUUCUUAUUUUAUUGCUUUUUGCUCUUAUAUUUGUUGGUAAUAUUAUUUAUGUCCUUUAUUUAUAUACUGAUAGCCUCUGAGCUUUGAUUUA